rnacentral:rRNA from 1 species
UUUAUUGGAGAGUUUGAUCCUGGCUCAGGAUGAACGCUGGCGGCGUGCCUAAUACAUGCAAGUCGAGCGAAUGGAUUGAGAGCUUGCUCUCAAGAAGUUAGCGGCGGACGGGUGAGUAACACGUAGGUAACCUGCCCAUAAGACUGGGAUAACUCCGGGAAACCGGGGCUAAUACCGGAUAAUAUUUUGAACUGCAUGGUUCGAAAUUGAAAGGCGGCUUCGGCUGUCACUUAUGGAUGGACCCGCGUCGCAUUAGCUAGUUGGUGAGGUAACGGCUCACCAAGGCAACGAUGCGUAGCCGACCUGAGAGGGUGAUCGGCCACACUGGGACUGAGACACGGCCCAGACUCCUACGGGAGGCAGCAGUAGGGAAUCUUCCGCAAUGGACGAAAGUCUGACGGAGCAACGCCGCGUGAGUGAUGAAGGCUUUCGGGUCGUAAAACUCUGUUGUUAGGGAAGAACAAGUGCUAGUUGAAUAAGCUGGCACCUUGACGGUACCUAACCAGAAAGCCACGGCUAACUACGUGCCAGCAGCCGCGGUAAUACGUAGGUGGCAAGCGUUAUCCGGAAUUAUUGGGCGUAAAGCGCGCGCAGGUGGUUUCUUAAGUCUGAUGUGAAAGCCCACGGCUCAACCGUGGAGGGUCAUUG